UGGGGAAUAUUGGACAAUGGGCGAAAGCCUGAUCCAGCCAUGCCGCGUGAGUGAUGAAGGCCCUAGGGUUGUAAAGCUCUUUUGUGCGGGAAGAUAAUGACGGUACCGCAAGAAUAAGCCCCGGCUAACUUCGUGCCAGCAGCCGCGGUAAUACGAAGGGGGCUAGCGUUGCUCGGAAUCACUGGGCGUAAAGGGUGCGUAGGCGGGUUUCUAAGUCAGAGGUGAAAGCCUGGAGCUCAACUCCAGAACUGCCUUUGAUACUGGAAGUCUUGAGUUCGGGAGAGGUGAGUGGAACUGCGAGUGUAGAGGUGAAAUUCGUAGAUAUUCGCAAGAACACCAGUGGCGAAGGCGGCUCACUGGCCCGAUACUGACGCUGAGGCACGAAAGCGUGGGGAGCAACCA
rnacentral:rRNA from 1 species